rnacentral:lncRNA from 1 species
AACAGUUCCACAGUGGUAAUGUUCUUUGGUCAUUGAUUGGAUCAAUGAAGUUGCUGCUGGGGCCUUACAGUAUCUGACAGAGCCUCCAUUUAGUGAGCACAUACUCUGUGCAGAGGCACUUUACAUGGUUUCUCUCAGGCCUCAUAACACCAUGAAGAGAUGGGGAAUAUAAUUCCCAUUUCCCAGCUAGGGAAACGGAGGCUCAGAGACAUGAAGCCACUUGCUUAAGCCAGGUGUGACCAGCUCCAGACUCAUGCCCUGUUGUCUAUGUUGGAGUCAAACUGAAUUGGAGGCCAUAAUUCUGCCUCAUUUUCCCCAGCAUUCCUAUUCCUGGGCUUCCUGAGAGGGUCUCAGCUGUCAGCCAGAUGGUUCUGAGGCCCAGGGCCUGCAGCUACCUCUGUAACCAGUUCCUUCCUCCUUGCAACAUGGUGAGUAGGUGAUAUAACCUCAGCAUGGAGAGGACUAUGUGUGUACACGUGUGUGUCCGUGUGUGCUGGCAACAGCAUAAAGGAAACAGCAUUAGUCUUCUCCAUUCCCACCAUCACAGCCUCAUCGACUCUUCCUUCACAUCUCUCAGGAAUGUGGACCCUUUCCACCCAGGGUACAGCACAUUUCUGAGAGGAAUCAUAAUAUCCCCCUUGUCCCUGUGCAUUGCCAGAGAGGUUUCUGGAAGCCAUUUUGGGGACUUGUCCUCAAAACACAUAAUGUCUAUAUAAUAUGGUAACAACUAGGUUAAAAAAAUCUUUUUUUUUUCCUCUUGUGUUGGAGAUCAAACCCACUGAGUAUACCUCCAGCCCCAUUAAAAAUAAGAUUGUAAAGGGGAAAAAAAAAAGCAAAGAAAUGUGGUUAUGAGUGUUUUUUUUUCCUUUAUUUUCAAAAUUUUCUGUACUGUGGCUUUCUUAUUUUUAUAAUUAAAUUUAUGAAAAAUGCAGUGGAUCGAACAAAUAAUCUGUUGCUUCUCUGUGAGAAACAAUAAUAAUACUGCAUUUCCAAGGAGGUUUUUAAAAAUUACCUUUAUAAUUAAAAUUUUGGUAGAAUCUACAUAAAAUUUACCGUCUUAAACCUUUUGAGGGUACAGUUCAUUGUCAUUAAGUACUUUCACGUGGUUGUGAAACCAUCAUCACUGUUCUUCCAGACUUUUUCAUUGUCCUAAACUGAAAUCCUAUAUCCACGGCUGUCCUUGCCCUCCUCCUUUAGCAGCCACCAUUCCGCCUCUGUGACUUUGAGCAUUUGAUACCUCUUGUAAAUGGGAUCAUACAAUUCUUGCCCUUUUGUGUGUGUGGCUUUUUUUACUUGACAUAAUGUCUUCGGAUUUUACCUUUGUCAUGGUAUAUAUUAAGGUUGGCUUCCUUCUUAAGGCUGAGUAAUAUCCCAAUUGUGUAUAUCUAUCUAUAGCUCUAUCUUUCUCUCCCUCUAUAUCUAUACCUUUACAUUACAUCUUGUUUUUCUCCAUUCAUCCAUCAAUGGCCAGUUGGGUUGUUUCUGCCUUUUGGCUAUUGUUUAAACUAAUGCUGCUAAGAAAUUGGUUUACAGAUAUUGAGUCCUUGCUUUCCAUUCUUUUGGAAUUGAAAUUCUAAAUCCCAAAUUGGAAUUCAAUUUCAAAUUCUUUUGGAAUGUGCUUAGAAGUGGAAUUGCUGCCAAGGAGCAUUCUAGAACUCAUUUCUGGAACUUUUGAUAGUUUAAAUGGUUACUGGGGAUUGAACCCAGGAGUGCUUAACCACUGAACCUCAUCCCAGCCCCUUUUAUUUUUUAUUUUUUUUAGUUGAUGGAUACUAUACCUUUAUUUUAUUUAUUUAUUUUUAUGUGGUGCUGAGGUUUGAAACCAGUGCCUCACACUUGCUAGGCAAGCACUCUGCCACUGAGCCCCAACUGCAGCCUCCCCAGCCCUUUUUAUUUAUUAUUAUUAUUUUUAUUUAUUAAUUUUUAAAGUUUUGGAUAUUUAUUUUUUAGUUGUAAAAUAAAUAUUAUUUAUUUUUAUGUGAUGCUGAGGAUCGAACCCAGGGCCUUGCACGUGCUAGGCGAGUGCUCUACCACUGAGCCACAACCCCAGCCCCCUUUAUUUUUUAUUUUGAGACAGGGUCUCACUAAUUGCUCAGGGCUUUGGUAAGUUGCUGAGGCUGGCACUGAGGUUGGUUAUCACCUCCAACAAUCUUUUACUCUGAUUCCACCUCUCCUUCCUGGAGGACCUCGAGCGACAUCAGGAGUCACUAUUGAUGAGAAGAUGGGUGAAUGUUUCUGAGAUUUUGUUUAAUCUUCAGAAAGUUAUAGUUAAUGAUUUCCACAUCAAGGGUUGCCCAGCAUACCACCAAUUUUGAAUUUAAAGCAGAGCAAAUAAAUGUGAACAAAUAAAUGUGUUUUGUUCAUAAAAAUUGUGCUUAUAAUUGUGGUAUAUAUACACAAUGGAAAGUUACUCAGCCAUAAAGAAGAAUGACUUUAUGACAUUUGCCAGUAAAUGGAUGGAUCUGGAGACUGUCAUGCUAAGUGAAAUAAGCCAGCCCCCAAAACCAAAGGUCAAAUGUUUUUGCUGAUGUGUGGAUGCUAACCCACACUAAAGUAGGGGGGGAGAGGAAGAAGAGAAGUUCAUAGAUUAGACAAAGGGGAAUGAAUGGAAGGGAGGGGGAUUAGGCAGAGGAAAGACAGUAGAAUAAAUCUAACAUAAUUUUCCUAUGUACACAUAUGAAAAUACCUAAGUAACUCCCACCGUCGUGCCUACCCACAAGAAUGAGGUCCUAAUUAGAAUAAUAUAUAUCCCAUGCUUGUAUAAUUUUAUCAAAAUACAUUCUACUGUCAUGUAUAAGUAGGAAGAACCAAUAAAAAAAUGGAAUUGAAAUACAGGGAAAAAAUCAUGUUUACUACUCAGUAAUUAUGUGAUUUUACUUAAUCAAAUAAUCUUUGCUUCAAGUGUUUCCUAGCCAAGUAUAAAAUGUCUUGAGAAGUACAAAAAUGAUAGAAGAUGUGAAAGAACUCUGAGAAACGUAGAAGAAACACCAAUGAAAGAUUGGAGAUGAAAGACUGCAAUGUGGAAGCCAAGCCAUACAUUAAGAAAGAUGGACAGACAGUGUUGGAAAAAGAACAGCAACUCCUGGGUACAAGAUGACUGUUCCCUAGAAAUGCUGGUUGGGUAAUCAGUAGUCUGACUAAUGUGGAAGAUCACAGCCCAGUAAAAAUGUGUUAUGGCUGAGUGUCUUGCAGUGCAAGCUGGUGCAAAUUAAGUGCUAAACACAUAAAAUAAAUAUAUGAAACUAGUUGUAUGUGCUGUAACUCACACUGCUGCAGGAGCUUUUAAAAGUUG